rnacentral:rRNA from 1 species
UUAAGUGACUAAGCGUACACGGUGGAUGCCUUGGCAGUCAGAGGCGAUGAAGGACGUAUUAACUUGCGAUAAGCCCAGAUUAGGUAGUAAAAACCAUUUGAGUCUGGGAUUUCCGAAUGGGGAAACCCACUAGCAUAAGCUAGUAUCGCUGCGUGAAUACAUAGCGCAGCGAGGCGAACCGGGGGAACUGAAACAUCUAAGUACCCCGAGGAAAAGAAAUCAACCGAGAUUCCGAAAGUAGCGGCGAGCGAAAUUGGACUAGCCCUUAAGCUUUUUAUGCGUCAGGUGAAACUUCUGGAAAGUUGUGCGAUACAGGGUGAUAGCCCCGUAACCGGCAACGCAUUUAAAGUGAAAUCGAGUAGGGCGGGACACGUGAUAUCCUGUCUGAAUAUGGGGGGACCAUCCUCCAAGGCUAAAUACUACUGACUGACCGAUAGUGAACCAGUACCGUGAGGGAAAGGCGAAAAGAACCCCUGUGAGGGGAGUGAAAUAGAACCUGAAACCGUGUACGUACAAGCAGUAGGAGCACCUUCGUGGUGUGACUGCGUACCUUUUGUAUAAUGGGUCAGCGACUUAUAUUCAGUGGCAAGGUUAACCAUCUAGGGGAGCCGUAGGGAAACCGAGUCUUAACUGGGCGUUCAGUCUCUGGAUAUAGACCCGAAACCAGGUGAUCUAGCCAUGGGCAGGUUGAAGGUUGAGUAACAUCAACUGGAGGACCGAACCGACUAAUGUUGAAAAAUUAGCGGAUGACUUGUGGCUAGGGGUGAAAGGCCAAUCAAACCUGGAGAUAGCUGGUUCUCCCCGAAAGCUAUUUAGGUAGCGCCUCGGACGAAUACUACUGGGGGUAGAGCACUGUUAAGGCUAGGGGGUCAUCCCGACUUACCAACCCUUUGCAAACUCCGAAUACCAGUAAGUACUAUCCGGGAGACACACGGCGGGUGCUAACGUCCGUCGUGGAGAGGGAAACAACCCAGACCGCCAGCUAAGGUCCCAAAUUACUACUAAGUGGGAAACGAUGUGGGAAGGCUCAGACAGCCAGGAUGUUGGCUUAGAAGCAGCCAUCAUUUAAAGAAAGCGUAAUAGCUCACUGGUCGAGUCGGCCUGCGCGGAAGAUGUAACGGGGCUAAGUAGUAAACCGAAGCUGCGGCAAUGCACUUUAGUGCAUUGGGUAGGGGAGCGUUCUGUAAGCGGUUGAAGGUGUGUGGUAACGCAUGCUGGACGUAUCAGAAGUGCGAAUGCUGACAUGAGUAACGAUAAAGGGGGUGAAAAACCUCCUCGCCGGAAGACCAAGGGUUCCUGUCCAACGUUAAUCGGGGCAGGGUAAGUCGACCCCUAAGGCGAGGCCGAAAGGCGUAGUCGAUGGGAAACGGGUUAAUAUUCCCGUACUUCUUACAAUUGCGAUGGGGGGACGGAGAAGGCUAGGUGGGCCUGGCGACGGUUGUCCAGGUUCAAGUGCGUAGGCUUAAGAGUUAGGUAAAUCCGGCUCUUUCUAAGGCUGAGACACGACGUCGAGCUACUACGGUAGUGAAGUCAUUGAUGCCAUGCUUCCAGGAAAAGCCUCUAAGCUUCAGAUUGUAAGGAAUCGUACCCCAAACCGACACAGGUGGUCGGGUAGAGAAUACCAAGGCGCUUGAGAGAACUCGGGUGAAGGAACUAGGCAAAAUGGUACCGUAACUUCGGGAGAAGGUACGCUCUCGACGGUGAAGUCCCUCGCGGAUGGAGCUAUUGAGAGUCGCAGAUACCAGGUGGCUGCAACUGUUUAUUAAAAACACAGCACUGUGCAAAAUCGUAAGAUGACGUAUACGGUGUGACGCCUGCCCGGUGCCGGAAGGUUAAUUGAUGGGGUUAGACUUCGGUCGAAGCUCUUGAUCGAAGCCCCGGUAAACGGCGGCCGUAACUAUAACGGUCCUAAGGUAGCGAAAUUCCUUGUCGGGUAAGUUCCGACCUGCACGAAUGGCGUAAUGAUGGCCACGCUGUCUCCACCCGAGACUCAGUGAAAUUGAAAUCGCUGUGAAGAUGCAGUGUACCCGCGGCUAGACGGAAAGACCCCGUGAACCUUUACUACAGCUUGGCACUGAACAUUGACCCUACAUGUGUAGGAUAGGUGGGAGGCUUUGAAGCACAGUCGCUAGAUUGUGUGGAGCCGUCCUUGAAAUACCACCCUUGUAGUGUUGAUGUUCUAACGUUGACCCCUAAUCGGGGUUGCGGACAGUGCCUGGUGGGUAGUUUGACUGGGGCGGUCUCCUCCCAAAGCGUAACGGAGGAGCACGAAGGUGGGCUAAUCACGGUUGGACAUCGUGAGGUUAGUGCAAUGGCAUAAGCCCGCUUGACUGCGAGAAUGACGGUUCGAGCAGGUGCGAAAGCAGGUCAUAGUGAUCCGGUGGUUCUGAAUGGAAGGGCCAUCGCUCAACGGAUAAAAGGUACUCCGGGGAUAACAGGCUGAUACCGCCCAAGAGUUCAUAUCGACGGCGGUGUUUGGCACCUCGAUGUCGGCUCAUCACAUCCUGGGGCUGAAGUCGGUCCCAAGGGUAUGGCUGUUCGCCAUUUAAAGUGGUACGCGAGCUGGGUUUAGAACGUCGUGAGACAGUUCGGUCCCUAUCUGCCGUGGGCGUUGGAAGAUUGAAGGGGGCUGCUCCUAGUACGAGAGGACCGGAGUGGACGAACCUCUGGUGUUCGGGUUGUGUCGCCAGACGCAUUGCCCGGUAGCUAAGUUCGGAAUCGAUAACCGCUGAAAGCAUCUAAGCGGGAAGCGAGCCCUGAGAUGAGUCUUCCCUGAUACUUUAAGUAUCCUAAAGGGUUGUUCGAGACUAGAACGUUGAUAGGCAGGGUGUGUAAGCGUUGUGAGGCGUUGAGCUAACCUGUACUAAUUGCCCGUGAGGCUUAACCAU